UAGGGAAUCUUCCGCAAUGGACGAAAGUCUGACGGAGCAACGCCGCGUGAGUGAAGAAGGUCUUCGGAUCGUAAAACUCUGUUAUCAGGGAAGAACAAGUACCGGAGUUACUGCCGGUACCUUGACGGUACCUGACCAGAAAGCCACGGCUAACUACGUGCCAGCAGCCGCGGUAAUACGUAGGUGGCAAGCGUUGUCCGGAAUUAUUGGGCGUAAAGCGCGCGCAGGCGGUUCUUUAAGUCUGAUGUGAAAUCUUGCGGCUCAACCGUGAGCGGUCAUUGGAAACUGGAGAACUUGAGUGCAGAAGAGAAGAGCGGAAUUCCACGUGUAGCGGUGAAAUGCGUAGAGAUGUGGGGGAACACCAGUGGCGAAGGCGGCUCUUUGGUCUGUAACUGACGCUGAGGCGCGAAAGCGUGGGGAGCGAACAGG
rnacentral:rRNA from 1 species